rnacentral:rRNA from 1 species
GCCAGACUCCUACGGGAGGCAGCAGUGGGGGAUAUUGCACAAUGGGGGGAACCCUGAUGCAGCGACGCCGCGUGGGUGAAGAAGCGCCUCGGCGCGUAAAGCCCUGUCAGCAGGGAAGAAAAUGACGGUACCUGAGUAAGAAGCCCCGGCUAACUACGUGCCAGCAGCCGCGGUAAUACGUAGGGGGCAAGCGUUAUCCGGAUUUACUGGGUGUAAAGGGAGCGCAGACGGCAGUGCAAGUCUGGAGUGAAAGCCCGGGGCCCAACCCCGGGACUGCUCUGGAAACUGUACGGCUAGAGUACGGGAGGGGCAGGCGGAAUUCCUAGUGUAGCGGUGAAAUGCGUAGAUAUUAGGAGGAACACCGGCGGCGAAGGCGGCCUGCUGGACCGAAACUGACGUUGAGGCUCGAAAGCGUGGGGAGCAAACAGGAUUAGAUACCCCAGUAUUA